rnacentral:rRNA from 1 species
GACGAACGCUGGCGGCGUGCUUAACACAUGCAAGUCGAACGGAAAGGCCUCUUUCGGGGGGUACUCGAGUGGCGAACGGGUGAGUAACACGUGAGUAACCUGCCCUUGACUUUGGGAUAACUUCAGGAAACUGGGGCUAAUACCGGAUAGGAGCUCCUGCUGCAUGGUGGGGGUUGGAAAGUUUCGGCGGUUGGGGAUGGACUCGCGGCCUAUCAGCUUGUUGGUGGGGUAGUGGCUUACCAAGGCUUUGACGGGUAGCCGGCCUGAGAGGGUGACCGGCCACAUUGGGACUGAGAUACGGCCCAGACGCCUACGGGAGGCAGCAGUGGGGAAUAUUGCACAAUGGGUGGAAGCCUGAUGCAGCAACGCCGUGUGCGGGAGGACGGCCUUCGGGUUGUAAACCGCUUUCGCUCAUGACGAAGCUUUGUGUGACGGUAGUGGGUAAAGAAGCACCGGCUAACUACGUG